rnacentral:rRNA from 1 species
UACGUAGGGUGCGAGCGUUAAUCGGAAUUACUGGGCGUAAAGCGUGCGCAGGCGGCUAAGCAAGUCGAGUGUGAAAGCCCCGGGCUUAACUUGGGAAUUGCGCUCGAAACUGCUUUGCUGGAGUGUGGCAGAGGAAGGUGGAAUUCCACGUGUAGCGGUGAAAUGCGUAGAGAUGUGGAGGAACACCAAUGGCGAAGGCAGCCCUCUGGGCCAGCACUGACGCUCAUGCACGAAAGCGUGGGGAGCAAACAGG